GACGAACGCUGGCGGCGUGCUUAACACAUGCAAGUCGAACGGAGAGGCCCUGCUUGCAGGGUACUCGAGUGGCGAACGGGUGAGUAGCACGUGGGUGAUCUGCCCUGCACUUCGGGAUAAGCCUGGGAAACUGGGUCUAAUACCGGAUAGGAGCCAUUUUUAGUGUGAUGGUUGGAAAGUUUUUUCGGUGUAGGAUGAGCUCGCGGCCUAUCAGCUUGUUGGUGGGGUAAUGGCCUACCAAGGCGGCGACGGGUAGCCGGCCUGAGAGGGUGGACGGCCACAUUGGGACUGAGAUACGGCCCAGACUCCUACGGGAGGCAGCAGUGGGGAAUAUUGCACAAUGGGCGCAAGCCUGAUGCAGCGACGCCGCGUGGGGGAUGACGGCCUUCGGGUUGUAAACUCCUUUCGCUAGGGACGAAGCUUUUUGUGACGGUACCUAGAUAAGAAGCACCGGCUAACUACGUG
rnacentral:rRNA from 1 species